rnacentral:rRNA from 1 species
UACGUAGGUGGCAAGCGUUGUCCGGAUUUACUGGGUGUAAAGGGCGUGUAGCCGGGCUUACAAGUCAGAUGUGAAAUCCGGGGGCUCAACCCCCGAACUGCAUUUGAAACUGUAGGUCUUGAGUAUCGGAGAGGCAGGCGGAAUUCCUAGUGUAGCGGUGAGAUGCGUAGAUAUUAGGAGGAACACCAGUGGCGAAGGCGGCCUACUGGACGGUGACUGACGCUGAGGCUCGAAAGCGUGGGGAGCAAACAGG